UCUGUCCUGCACUUUAGAAGACGAGUUGUCCAGAAGAUGGAGGUCGGUUGUUCUGGAGGUGUAGAUUCUACAAGUCUCCCUGCUUUUCCCUGGUUGGUCCCCUACAGUUGAUGAUCUAGGAACCGGCAAGCUGCAGAGCCCAGGUAGCCUAUCCCGGCCCAAACCCAGGGUACAGAGAAGAUAACUGAGGCUCUCAGUGGAGUGAUUUGUCUAAAUCCCCACAGCCAGCCAAGUCAACCUCACAGGAAUGCCUCCCCUGGAUUAGUAGAGGAGGAAUGGAGAAGAGUGUACUUCACUCACCAUCAUCUUGAGCUGGGACUUCCAGACACAGGCCAUCCUCCACGUUGUUUCCACAGAAGAGUCAACCUAGCUGAGCCUUAUCACCCUCCAUCCUAUAAUAAAAGUUGUUUGCCGAGGUAAAAUGAAAUGUCAGAGUGGAGUUUUCUGAGCUGUUGGAAACUGCUAAGAUCAUUGAAAUUUGACACAAGAUGCAAUCAUCCGCCUGAAGGAUUUUGACAACACUCACGUUUUUAAACUCCACAUUCCCUAUCCCUAGGAAAGAAACCUCAAUAAAU
rnacentral:lncRNA from 1 species